rnacentral:rRNA from 1 species
UGCGUAGGCGGCUUUCUAAGUUGGAUGUGAAAACUCUGGGCUCAACCCAGAGACUGCAUCCAAAACUGGGAGGCUAGGGUCCUGGAGGGGAGAGCGGAAUUCCUGGUGUAGCGGUGAAAUGCGUAGAUAUCAGGAGGAACACCGGUGGCGAAGGCGGCUCUCUGGACAGGUACCGACGCUGAGGCACGAAAGUGGAGGCAAC